AAUCAAUUUGAAUAUAAGAGCAACUAAUAUGGCGUAUGAUAGUGUUUUAUAUCAAUAUCGUGAGCAUGAUAUCUGUUUAAAUAAUUCAAUUAUACAUUUUACAUUACACUAUUAAAUAUAUUAUUUUAAAUUUAUUUUAUAAUGAAGGUUAGAAUAAAUAUUUCACUUAUUUUUAUAUUCAUAUGUGUUUAUUUGACAACAUAAAUAUAAAUUUUGAUUGGAGAAUGAUUAAUUUUCUAUAUUUUCUAUUCAUAUUCGUGAAAUUUCAAAUAAUACGUUAAUUUUUGGUAAUGAAGUUUAAGUUUAUUGCGAUUCAUAAGAUGUGUUAUAAAUUUAAAAAAAAAUACGGAAAUUAUUGUACUUGUGAAACAAAGAAUAUGUGCAUCAUAGAAGGGUCUCUGUUUUCGCGGAUGCUUCACGUGACCAGAACGGUCUAUUGAUUCUUGGAGGUAGUGCAUGCGCCCUCGUCCUCGCGAUAUCUGCUGCUAAGGGGGUAUGUGAUACACUGGAAACGCUACUCGAAUUCCGUUCGCCAACAGAAGAGACGUGAAAGGGGGCUAUCAUCGAAUAUAGACGCCAAGAGGUGAACAAGGGAUAGGACAGAAAAGGGGAGCUACACGAUCGUGAAAACUCAGUAACACUUCGUGGGGCGCUUGUGCAUGAUUUGCUUUGAUCGUUAUGGUUAUCAUAGUUUUUAUGAGAAAGUUGCAGUAACACCUUAAGAAGACAUGUGGAUCAUGCUAAGACAAGGAGCGAAGUGGUGACCUAAAACUCAUCUUUGGUUCUGACCCUCGAUGCUUACGCUACGGCUGGUGUCGACUCAUUUCCUAAAACAGCCAUAGGCAGUGCCCUUCGCCUUAGAGAAAGGGCUCGAUGCGAUGUGCCGUGAUAGGGACAUGAACCCAAAACUAGUCGAAUUAAGCGAUCUCUUUUUAACGUCGUAUUGGUUAUUAACGUCGCUUUAAAAUUGCUCGAAAGUUCCGUGCGUGUGUCGACGAAAGACUUUUCUUCGCCGGUCCCUUUCUCCUUCGAAAAUUCUGUAUUCACCCGUCCUUCUAAUUUCCCUAAUCCAUUUAUAUCCUUAUAUAGUUCCUUAUUCCUUGUUUAAAAAAUCAUUCGCGUGAGACUAAAGAUUCGUGGUUUGUUAAUCACGAACAUUAAUAUCAAGGUCAACGCCUAUAUCAACGAUAACAUCGAAAAACCAAAAUUUUCAAACAGAAAACAUAUAUAUAAAAUAAAUUCAACGAACGAAAUUUUUUAUUUCAAAAUUAAGUAAGCGAAAAGGUGAUAUAUAAGGGAAACGAUAUAAAAGAAAGUAUUAUUAAAUAAAAUACUUGCUUUUUCACUAUUUAUCUUUUUUGCACUCAAGAAAGACACGCAAAACAAUUUCGAAGAUACUUUUCUAUCAGGUAUAUCUUAUUCACUGGAAAAUCAACUGUGAAGAAGAAUAAAUAGUCAGAAAGUGUAACUCGAAGUAAUAUCCAGGCUGAACUCCAUUUAUUUCAACCUGUGGAAGGUCGCGAGGGAGUGCAUUUGUGGCGGCGGCGGCGGCGGCGG